AAAGAUUUGCGAUGACUGAACCAGGACUAACCCAGGUCUUUGGUGUCAUGUUUCAGAGCAGAGGGACCUGUCCGGCGAAGAGCUCACCCGGCUCUACAACACUCGUGUGAUCAAAGCAGAGCGCGUCGUUCGUCUUACAAAUGGCAUGCCAGCCUGGAUGCCCAACCUGUACAUCACCACCCACAGCGGAGUCAGGGUGACUCUGGCAGACGGCAACAGUCGCAGGUUCUUGAUCCACAAAGGCCCAGGCAACGGCAGCGUCUCGGACACUGUGGUCACAGAUGCCAAGUACAUGUCCAGCGCAUGGAUGGAGAAAGGCGAUGACACCCUGUGCUUCAGAGGGGCGGUGACGGUCGGGACUUGGUGAAAGCCGGGGGAGAGCAGUACAGUCUGUGGAGACUGCAGUACUGCCACACGGCCACUAAUGACAUGAUAAACAUGUGCUAGUUACAUGUUACAUGGCUGUGCUGUGUUACAACUGUCAUGUGCAGUCGACACAAACAUCACAUUAGUGUGACGGUUACAGAGACACAAAGAACAUUAAUUAUGUGCAGUAAAACAUGUUUCAAGGCAAACAACAAACAUAAUAAAACGAUCACAACCAAUAUUUUACAGUGGAAAUGGGAAAGUUAAUAAUAAUGGGUCGUGUUGAUUAUGUAAUACUUAUUAUAACUAAAUCAAUAGUCAAUUAAUAGAAUGGUGACUGGUGUUUAUAAGUAAUGAUUGAAUAUGGUUAAUGUUAACAUGUGAAUGGGAAAAAGAAAAAGUACAAAUUGUAAAUAAUUAUGUAAAUUAUGUUAUUUAUUAUUAUGUUA
rnacentral:lncRNA from 1 species